rnacentral:rRNA from 1 species
GAUGAACGCUGGCGGCGUGCCUAAUACAUGCAAGUCGAGCGAACGGACGAGAAGCUUGCUUCUCUGAUGUUAGCGGCGGACGGGUGAGUAACACGUGGAUAACCUACCUAUAAGACUGGGAUAACUUCGGGAAACCGGAGCUAAUACCGGAUAAUAUUUUGAACCGCAUGGUUCAAAAGUGAAAGACGGUCUUGCUGUCACUUAUAGAUGGAUCCGUGCUGCAUUAGCUAGUUGGUAAGGUAACGACUUACCAAGGCAACGAUGCAUAGCCGACCUGAGAGGGUGAUCGGCCACACUGGAACUGAGACACGGUCCAGACUCCUACGGGAGGCAGCAGUAGGGAAUCUUCCGCAAUGGGCGAAAGCCUGACGGAGCAACGCCGCGUGAGUGAUGAAGGUCUUCGGAUCGUAAAACUCUGUUAUUAGGGAAGAACAUAUGUGUAAGUAACUGUGCACAUCUUGACGGUACCUAAUCAGAAAGCCACGGCUAACUACGUG